CAAAAUUUUUGUAAAAUUCAUUGUGAAGUGAAUUCCGAUUAUUACAGAAAAAAUGGUGCUAAAUGCAAAGCAAUUGUCAUCCAUUCCAAAAAAUAUGGAAGAAAUAAAAAAAGAAUAUGAAGCUAUCGAAUCGAAGCUAACAUUAUUCGAAGAGACCUACUCGAAAAUGUUACAAGAGUGCAAUACAUGGUGGAUUGAGCUAGCAUUUACAAAUGCAAAUAUUCAACAAUUAUUAUCAAAUUUUGAAAAAGAAGAUUCUACUAAAAUUGGUCCAAGCACAACAUAAUUCUUUAAAAAGAAAACCCCUGGAUGAAUCGACA